rnacentral:rRNA from 1 species
UACGUAGGGGGCAAGCGUUAUCCGGAUUUACUGGGUGUAAAGGGAGCGUAGGCGGCAAGGUAAGCCAGAAGUGAAAGCCCGCGGCUCAACUUCGGAAUUGCCUCUGAUACUGUUCGGCUAGAGAGUAGUUGCGGUAGGCGGAAUGUAUGGUGUAGCGGUGAAAUGCUUAGAGAUCAUACAGAACACCGAUUGCGAAGGCAGCUUACCAAGCUACUUCUGACGUUGAGGCACGAAAGCGUGGGGAGCAAACAGG